AACUAACGCUGGCGGCGCGCCUAAUACAUGCAAGUCGAACGAUGUAGCAAUACAUAGUGGCGCACGGGAGAGUAACACGUGGAUAAUCUCCCCUCGAGAGAGGAAUAACUAGUCGAAAGAUUGGCUAAUACUUCAUAAGACCACAGAAACUAAUGUUUCAGGGGUAAAAGUCGUAAGACGCUUGAGGAUGAGUCUGCGUCCCAUUAGCUAGUUGGUGAGGUAACGGCUCACCAAGGCGACGAUGGGUAGCUGGUCUGAGAGGAUGAUCAGCUCACUGGAACUGACGCACGGUCCAGACUCCUACGGGAGGCAGCAGUAGGGAAUAUUGCACAA
rnacentral:rRNA from 1 species